GUAGGUGAACCUGCGGAAGGAUCAUUAAUGAGUUUGGGGGCCUACCCCCCAGCGGCGAGUGUCGUUCGACCCCCCCCCGGGCUCGGUCGGCGUUCGUCGUGUUUCUCAACCCCAUGUUUAUCAUACCUUUGUUGCUUUGGCGGGCCUUGAGUAGGCUAUACGGCUCAUGCCGGCCCCAGGCUUUAUUGCCUGGGGGCGGCUCGCGCCCGCCAGAGGUUUAUUUAAACCCUAUUCAUCAGUGAUGUCUGAG
rnacentral:misc_RNA from 1 species